rnacentral:rRNA from 1 species
AUACGUAGGAUGCGAGCGUUGUCCGGAUUUAUUGGGCGUAAAGAGCGCGCAGGUGGUUAGAUAAGUUGGGUGUGAAAUCCCCUGGCUUAACCAGGGUAGGUCAUCCAAAACUGUCUAGCUUGAGGGCAGCAGAGGAAAGUGGAAUUCCCGGUGUAGUGGUGAAAUGCGUAGAUAUCGGGAGGAACACCAGUGGCGAAGGCGGCUUUCUGGGCUGUCACUGACGCUGAGGCGCGAAAGCGUGGGGAGCGAACCGAAUUAGAUACUCGGGUAGUCCACGCCGUAAACGAUGGACACUAGGUGUAGGGGGUAUCGACCCCUCCAGUGCCGAAGCUAACGCAUUAAGUGUCCCGCCUGGGGAGUACGGCCGCAAGGCUAAA